rnacentral:rRNA from 1 species
UGUUUAAUAGAGCUUUUGCUCGUGAACCAAAUAUGGUCGGCUGGGUUGUCUUUGCGGAAACGCUUAGGCGACUUGUCUACGAAUUGUAAUCAUAAUAUGCGCGACGGUGAAUCCUUUGCAGACGACUUGAAUGGGAACGGGGUACUGUAAGUGGUAGAGUAGCCUUGUUGCUACGAUCCACUGAGGUUAAGCCCUUGUUCUAAAGAUUUGUUCA